rnacentral:lncRNA from 1 species
AUGAUUUGUGUUCCUCUGAAUCAAAAUAUAGGCAAUCAGAUAAUGUAGGAGCCUAUUCUCUACGAACAGUGAUCCAAAAUAGUACAAAAAUAGUUUACUGACUUGUAUUCUUUUACUUUCGCUUUCAAUAGGUUCAAGAUUCUUCUACUACCACAACUUCUUUUGGUUCUCCAAAUUCUUGUAGUAAUGAUGAUAAUGAAAAUGGUAUAACAAUUUUUUAUUAAUAGAAUUUUAUGAUUGGGUUAUUUUAUUCCUUCAUUGAUGUCUUUUCUAUUCUUUGCAGGUGAAUGUUAGCAAAUAAUUUCUUUUUGAUGGAACAAACUAGAAAAUGAACCAUUUUGAUUUUUUUGGAAACACAAUUUGUACUUAUUUAGAUGGACAUCUAGAUUGUGUAAUUUUUAGGAUUAUAAGACUUUUUAUGUCUAUGAUAUAUGUAGUUAUGUUAUUUUUAGAUUGAUAUAUUUAACUUAUGUACUUCAUCGAUUGUAUGACUUUUAAUUUUAAAUAUAAAAUGACAUGUUUAGAUA